AGCCGCAGCCAAUUAGCAGACUCGCAAAAUUUCUUCCAGUUCAGAAUGUCCAGAUCUGGCGCGCCUUGCCCCGCCUCGCCACGCCUUCCCCGCGCUAAACGUGCAAGUCGCGAAACAAACGACGCCUUGAGGCUAUUUGCUGCCUCCUCGCUCCGACGCGCGCGAAGGCAUGGCUUUGAAAACACUGGUUGAGAUCACUUUGAUGGCUGAGAUGGAGCCGCAAAAAGGAGUUCCCACCUGAGCCGCGUGCUUAAAAUAUUGGGCUAUCAAGUACAAGCUGGACAAAGGGUGAGGUCGGUGAUGAUGACGAUGGUGAAGAAGCCAGAAAGGCAGAGGCUCUGCUUCGUCAGUUCAAUGUAAGCUUGUCUUUUCUUUAAUUAACUAAACAUUUUGUCCGUAAUGAUUUUUAUGCUCAACAA